GCCUGGGUGGCUUAGUCGGUUGGGCAUCUGACUUCAGCUCAGGUCAUGAUUUCACAGUCUGUGAGUUUGAGCCCCGCGUCAGGCU
rnacentral:tRNA from 1 species